AUCGAUUGAUCAUUCAAUUUAAGCAGCGCACUGCUUCAAAGCGAAGUUAACUUUUUACACGUAGUUUCAAUCUCUGAUUAUUAGCCUUUGAAGUUGCUUGCCGCUGGUAAAGCACGUGCAUUUUAUAUGUAAGUAUAGAAUAUGAAGCAUAUUUAAUUUAUUAUUUAUUAUACAAUAUACAGAGAGGCACAUAAUUGAUCACCCAUAGAUGCCCAUAGACAGUGAAAGGAUUAAUAACAAAUCCAAUUGCACAUUAGAAAUUGACGAAUCAUAAAGAAGAUAAGGCAGGAAGGUAAAAAGAUUUCCGGAGAAUCUGUGAAAUUAUUUCUAAAGGAAAUGUGACACAGACAGAAGACCAGUUCUGCUCCAUUUUGGACUAUUAUUUCUACAACAAGGAAGAAAUCUCGAACGUUUAUUACAACUGCCAAGAAACAAUUAAUAAAAAUAUUUGCACUUGCUUACAACUGCUUGUAAAUUCUUACAGCUCUACGAUAAAGCAUUUUCGAAAACGAGUUGGCACGAACAUUUUCUACCUUUUGACGUCAUUAACGCAAGUUUCCUUCCGAUUUUACGCAGCGUUACUCUCCUUUCAAUACUUCAUAUAUCGAGUAUUUUAUAUUUACCAUUAUUUGUUACAUAGAUCUGGGACACGAAUCGCACUUCAUUUGCUACAUAUUAUCGUAAUAGAUGCAGCGAGCAAUGUCGUUGAACGAACGUCUUGUAGACGCUCGUAAUAGACAGCGAAAAGGUUAAUAACAAGUCGAACUACAGAAUUCGAAAUGAAGGAACGUUAUAUCUGAAAUCACAAGCAACAG
rnacentral:misc_RNA from 1 species